AGCAGCCGCGGUAAUUCCAGCUCCAAUAGCGUAUAUUAAAGUUGUUGCAGUUAAAAGCUCGUAGUUGAAUUUCGGGAUUGACGUAAUGGUCGUGCCUUAAGGGGUAUGAACUGUUACUGUUGAUUUCUCACCUUCUGGUGGAUCUUGAUAUCCUUAAUUGGGUGUCUUGUGGAUCCAGGACCUUUACCUUGAAAAAUUGAGUGUUUAAAGCAGGCAUUUUGCUCGAAUACAUUAGCAUGGAAUAAUAGAAUAGGACGGCAUGGUUCUAUUUUGUUGGUUUCUAGGAUCACCGUAAUGAUUAAUAGGGAUAGUUGGGGGCAUUAGUAUUCAAUUGUCAGAGGUGAAAUUCUUGGAUUUAUUGAAGACUAACUACUGCGAAAGCAUUUGCCAAGGAUGUUUUCAUUAAUCAAGAACGAAAGUUAGGGAUCGAAGACGAUCAGAU
rnacentral:misc_RNA from 1 species